rnacentral:rRNA from 1 species
CAUGGCUCAGAUUGAACGCUGGCGGCAGGCUUAACACAUGCAAGUCGAGCGGAGAGAGGUAGCUUGCUACUGAUCUUAGCGGCGGACGGGUGAGUAAUACUUAGGAAUCUGGCUAUUAGUGGGGGACAACAUUUCGAAAGGGAUGCUAAUACCGCAUACGUCCUACGGGAGAAAGCAGGGGAUCUUCGGACCUUGCGCUAAUAGAUGAGCCUAAGUCGGAUUAGCUAGUUGGUGGGGUAAAGGCCUACCAAGGCGACGAUCUGUAGCGGGUCUGAGAGGAUGAUCCGCCACACUGGGACUGAGACACGGCCCAGACUCCUACGGGAGGCAGCAGUGGGGAAUAUUGGACAAUGGGGGGAACCCUGAUCCAGCCAUGCCGCGUGUGUGAAGAAGGCCUUAUGGUUGUAAAGCACUUUAAGCGAGGAGGAGGGUACUGGUAUUAAUACUACCAGGUACUGGACGUUACUCGCAGAAUAAGCACCGGCUAACUCUGUGCCAGCAGCCGCGGUAAUACAGAGGGUGCGAGCGUUAAUCGGAUUUACUGGGCGUAAAGCGUGCGUAGGCGGCUAAUUGAGUCGGAUGUGAAAUCCCCGAGCUUAACUUGGGAAUUGCAUUCGAUACUGGUUAGCUAGAGUGUGGGAGAGGAUGGUAGAAUUCCAGGUGUAGCGGUGAAAUGCGUAGAGAUCUGGAGGAAUACCGAUGGCGAAGGCAGCCAUCUGGCCUAACACUGACGCUGAGGUACGAAAGCAUGGGGAGCAAACAGGAUUAGAUACCCUGGUAGUCCAUGCCGUAAACGAUGUCUACUAGCCGUUGGUCUCUUUGAGGGAUUAGUGGCGCAGCUAACGCG